UACGUAGGGUGCGAGCGUUAAUCGGAAUUACUGGGCGUAAAGCGUGCGCAGGCGGUUGCCUAAGCCAGGCGUGAAAUCCCCGGGCUUAACCUGGGAAUUGCGCUUGGGACUGGGCGGCUAGAGUACGGCAGAGGGAGGCGGAAUUCCACGUGUAGCAGUGAAAUGCGUAGAGAUGUGGAGGAACACCGAUGGCGAAGGCAGCCUCCUGGGCCAGUACUGACGCUCAUGCACGAAAGCGU
rnacentral:rRNA from 1 species